AUUGAACGCUGGCGGCAUGCCUUACACAUGCAAGUCGAACGGCAGCACGGGAGCUUGCUCCUGGUGGCGAGUGGCGAACGGGUGAGUAAUACAUCGGAACGUACCCUGAAGUGGGGGAUAACGUAGCGAAAGUUACGCUAAUACCGCAUAUUCUGUGAGCAGGAAAGAGGGGGAUCGCAAGACCUCUUGCUUUAGGAGCGGCCGAUGUCGGAUUAGCUAGUUGGUGAGGUAAAGGCUCACCAAGGCGACGAUCCGUAGCGGGUCUGAGAGGAUGAUCCGCCACACUGGGACUGAGACACGGCCCAGACUCCUACGGGAGGCAGCAGUGGGGGAAUUUUUGGACAAUGGGCGCAAGCCUGAUCCAGCCAUGCCGCGUGAGUGAAGAAGGCCU
rnacentral:rRNA from 1 species